GGUCGCUUAGCUCAGUUGGUAGAGCACUACGCUCACAUCGUAGGGGUCGCAGGUUCAAGUCCUGCAGCGACCA
rnacentral:tRNA from 1 species